AUUAUGAUGAAUUAUUUGGUCCGUGUUUAUGAUUUUGUUCAUGAUCUUAUCUCUCCAAAUACUGAUAAUU